rnacentral:rRNA from 1 species
UACGUAGGGGGCUAGCGUUGUCCGGAUUUAUUGGGCGUAAAGAGCGUGUAGGCGGCCAGAUAGGUCUGCUGUGAAAACUCGAGGCUCAACCUCGAGAUGUCGGCGGAAACCAUUUGGCUAGAGUCCGGAAGAGGAAAGUGGAAUUCCUGGUGUAGCGGUGAAAUGCGCAGAUAUCAGGAGGAACACCGGUGGCGAAGGCGGUUCUCUGGGCCUGUACUGACGCUGAGGAGCGAAAGCGUGGGGAGCGAACAGG